CGGAGCCGCCCCCGGCGUGCGCGAGACCGGGGCGGGGCGCAGGGGCCGGGGGAAGGAUCGGGACAAAGCCUUUCGGUCCCGACGGGGCUGUGUCGGAGCUGCUCGGUGUGAAUGACGGGGGUACUGCGGUCAGUGUCCUCCCCGGAGCCGGGAAUGCAGGAAUCAGUGUCCUCUCCCGGUGCUGGGGAUGCCAGGGCCAGUGACCUCCCCCGGUUCCUCCCCAGACGCACGGUCCGAACGAGGUUUGGGACCUGCCCCCGCACUCUUCCCCGGCUGCUCCUCGGGGCCGGGAAGGGUUUUCCGGAGUUUCGGCGGAGGAAGGUGGCCUGUCGCUACUCAGGGCUUGCAAACCCGCAGCUGACGAACCCCGACGUUAGUAGCUGUCUCUAUUAAUAGUCACGAGGAACUCUGAAAUACCCAUGACAAAGGUUGGGACUGGAGAUUCCCGUUGCCAGGCCAGAAACGCGUUGUUUGGUGUAAACCACCCCUGAUAUAACCUUCCCUCUCCGGGGAGAUUCCGGGCAGGCAGCGAGGACUAUAAAGAGUGGGACUCAGGCACGGGCAGGGCAGACGACAUAGAGCGAGCCUGGAGCACUGCACACACCGAGACCGCGAUGGCAGCCAAAAGGGCCAGCUGGCCAGCUCUUCCUCUUCCAGUACAGACGUGGACAGGGAACAUGGCCCCGCCGUCUGCUUCCAUGGGUAGAGCCCACAGUCCAGCUGUGAGAUGAAGGAUUGAGACCUCUCUGAUGCUUCCUCUUUCUCCCUGUUGCACCACUGCCCUCCACCCACUGGAGGAAGCUGCAGCAUGGAAGGGAGCAGCCUUAGCUCUGCUCGGAAAGGAAGCAGAAGGGAGACAGCGGGAGGUCAGUGAGAGUUGGCAGCAACAUUAUCUGCUUUCCAGCUGGGGUGGGACACUUCUGCUGGCAAAGAGGAGCUCUGCCAUCUCUCUUCUCACAGGAAUGUUUCAUGGUUGGGAGGUACCAAAUAACUCCCGUAAAAUGCUGUCCCAAGUACACUCUGCUUCAUGCAGAUGGGACAGGAAUUUUGGUAUUUCUGCAACAACCUUACUGCCUGUCUUGUCCAGAACAACAAAAUAAACAAAGCCAUGUCUA